UCCUCACUCUAUGUGGAAUUUGCGCUUUGCUUUGCAUCACUGCGUGCCAUCGACUUUUCGUGCCAAUGUUCUUCUUAUCAAUUUACAUAUGUGAUGCAGGAGAAGAAAGUACAGUUUGAAACAGAUUGGGUCAAGUGUGUGUGAAUUUUUUUACGAGCGAUUCGGAGGUACGAGCAUUCUUAUGAGCUACGCUUUAAAGGGCGAACUAGAUUAUGCUCCCAUAUUCAAUAUUGGUUGGCAACUACCGGAAGCGGACAGGCUCCCAAAGAAGAGCACAGAUUAGUUAGCAAAUGGCGGAAAAGCACCUGGAGAAGAGAGAAAGCUUAGCCAAGAAGAGACUCCUAUUUAUUAAGCCGGUAAAGAUAAAAUCUGCCAGACAGGAGAGAGCAAUUUUAU